rnacentral:ncRNA from 1 species
ACAAACGCGGGAGGCUGUGACACACGGUCCCCAACCCGGUCGCCUGAACCGUGUCGAGCCACUGGCGAGACCGCCCGACGUCAGG